GUCUAGGACAGGAGUCUCCAAGUGUCCCUCUUGUGACCACUGGGCGUCGGUGCGACCUCUUACCACAGGCCCCUACCACACAGAGGGGUCCAGGCCUGUGCUCACGAGAAGGCACACGAGAAGCCCUGCGGGUUGGUCUGCCCAGUGUGAGGAGGAGCCGUGGCUGGCUUCCAGGUCUGUGUCCAGGCAGCCCCACGAGGGGUGCCCAGGGGUCUCCAAGGAAAACAGUGCCUCCCCAGACAGCCUCAGAUGGGACAGGGCCCCAGAACCCUGCUGGAGGACCUCGGACCAACAAGGACCUGCAUCUGCUUCUAGGCAGCAGCUGCCCUCCGAUCGGGGAAUCUGCACACAGGUGAUGAACUUCAGUGUCCACCACCAAAGCCAGCAGCAGAGCACGCCUGGGACCCCAGCUGACCACAGCAGGUCCCCGCAGUUCCCUACCAAGCCCCAUGGGGACCGCUCAGUGUCCCCAGCCUCAGUUCCCUGCGCGUGGAGAGGGGCUGCAGACCCCCGCCGCUCAGGAACUUUAAGAGACGGUGCACACAGGGCCGGGCUCUAGGCCUGGCUGAAACCCGAGCUCGCUGUGUCUGUGAACUGACCCCUGAAGCCCCAGCGCCCCUGCCCUCUUGAGGAGAGUGGGGAUUCCCACACAUGUCCUCCCUUCGGGCAGGCGAGACCAGCCUGGGACACGCACCACCUCAGGGGACAGACCCACAAAAUGAACCUCUGGGUGGGGCUGGGGACACCUGCAUCAGUGGGGCCCUGGACAAUAGGGAGACACCAAGGCCAGGGAUUGGUGUGGCUCCGCCCUCCUCGUUCCUGAGACUCUGCAGCCCAUCGGGAGGCCCUCUCUCUUGGGGACGGCAGGGCCCGGGUGAACCCCUAGAAGAGUGGUGUCCAGAUGGGAGGGGCUCCAGCUGCACACCUCUGUCCCACCCCCCACUGAGGACAGCAGCAGUAGAGCUGUCAUCUAUGCCACAGCUCUGGCCAAAGCAGUGCUCAGCCAGGAAGCUGGACUCCCCGUGACAACUCGGAGGUUGGAGGUCAGAGCCUGGCAGCCACGCAGGGGACUCAGCAGUGGCGUGGUGCUGUGGGGGGUGGGGGCCAGUGAGUGUCCCCAACCUGCUCCUGAAUUCAACAAAAUAUGGCAGAACAUCCAGGGUGUCCCUCGCGGGGUGGCAGGCUCCCCUGGGAGACUGAGCCACGGUGGUGGAGAUCCCAGACAGGAGGGGCCUCCCAGCUCUUGCCUGUCCCCUCCCUGGCCCAUGCCAUCUCCUGCCCAGCCAGGACUCCACUUGCCCUUCCCUCGAGGAGGCAGGAACCCUGGCCAGGAGGGCCAGCCCCAGCCAGGGCAUGAGCCAGCUCUGACCCUGUGCCCUCGUCCCCAGCCAGCCCUGCCUCCCAGGGCUCAGCCCACAGGCAGCCGUGGAGAUGGGGUCUGGGCCCAGGCAGGGCUUCUGGUCCACAAAGGUCCACACUGUCUACUCAGGGGGGCACUGAUCGGUGACAACCAGAAUAUACCCAUGAGCCCAGGGGCAGAAGUGGCAGACCCUCGCAGGGGAGAGCUGGCCGGGCCAGAGGAGGACGGCUGCUGCUGAGGGAAAAGGUCUUGGGAAAGGGCCAGCCCCCAAGGGGACAGGGACAGCAAAUGGCCCGGGAGAGAGCUGCCUAGCUCAGUUGGGCAGCUGGCCCAGCACCUCCCUCCCACAGGCACUCAGCUCAAGCCCAUCUCGGGUUCCGCCGCAGCCCUGAUGCCUGGCACCCACUUCCCACGGCCAGGAAGACGGUGCUGGGAAAAUGUGGGGCAGGCAGGCUGGGGACACAACUUCUCCAAGAGGCAGUGCCCAUCUGUGGAGCAGAAUCCUGGGGUGUGGGGACAGCAGGGAGGACCCCACACCCCAGGGCAGGCAGGUCGUGAGAGGGCUCAGGUCAGGAGGGUGAGCGCUGACCCACAGCACACACCUGCGGACCUUGGGGAGCACAAAAGGAAGAGACGGGGUUCUAGGUGUCCUCAGAGGGCGCGACCUGAGAGCCCCUCCAGAGGGUCACUGUGCCGAGAGCCAGGAGGAAGAGAGGAGCAGUCCCCGAGGGGCGACGGCACUCUGCUUCAGACGGAAACUAGGUCCAGCUGGAAGAGGACCUGGAUCUGAGGGGACAGGUCCUUGAAAGCCCUGCUCAGCCCAGCAGAGCCCUCCAGGCGCUGCCCGGAAGGAGCAUCGGGCCGCCCCUAGAGGGUGCUGGGCAGGGGACAGCUGCUCCCCAACUCCCC
rnacentral:lncRNA from 1 species